AGAAUCAACGCUGGCGGCGUGCCUAACACAUGCAAGUCGAACGCGAAAGGGGAGCAAUCCCUGAGUAGAGUGGCAAACGGGUGAGUAACACGUGGGUGACCUGCCUCCGAGUGGGGGAUAACGUCCCGAAAGGGACGCUAAUACCGCAUAACAUCCUGCUUUUGGAAAAGCGGAGAUCAAAGCUGGGGAUCGCAAGACCUGGCGCUUGAAGAGGGGCCCGCGCCUGAUUAGCUAGUUGGUGGGGUAAUGGCUCACCAAGGCUACGAUCAGUA
rnacentral:rRNA from 1 species